AUGGUACUGGGGAUUGAAUUCAGGGGCACUCAACCACUGAGCCAUAUCCCUAGCUCUAUUUUGUAUUUUUAUUUAGAGACAGGGUCUCAUUGAGUUGCUUGGUGUCUCACUGUUGGUGAGGCUGACUUUGAACUUGUGAUCCUCCUGCCUCAGCCUCCCGAGCUGCUGGGAAUACAGGUAUGUGCCACUGUGCUGGGAUAGAAGCCUAUUCUCAUACCGUAGUAGGUAUGUUUGGAAUGACUUUUAUACUUCCUAUUCCAUUAUUGUCCUAUUCCUUUGAUUUUUACUCCUUCUAACCAGUUCCAAAUAAUUUUGAGAGUUGGCUUUUUAAAAUUAAUUUUUUUUGUGUUCUUGGUCCUUUGGCUGUUCUUUCAAACCAGAUGUUCUUAAUUAGGUGUCAUCAAAACAUCACUAGAGGCAGGAGACCCUAUUUCACAUCCUUUUUCUUGUAUCUAUAACUAAGGUACCUACCUAUUUCAAAGAAAUAAAGGAACAUACAGGUUACUUGUUAAAUUUUAAUGCAUAAUAUAAACACAUUGCUUUUAUUUUGCAAACAUUUCCAUUUCUUGAUGUUUAGCUACUUCAGUAGCUUCUGAAUAUCAAAACUUACUCCCUCACCUUUGGAGCCUAAAAGAGGGUUAAUCCAUAACUUCCCUUUGUUAUUUAUUUUUAUUACUAUAAUUUUUAGCCCUUUCGUGUUCUGCCACAACAAAUUGGAGGUCACUGCUUUAAAAAGGUAUAGUACUUUGAUUGUUAAGGUCACUUUUAACAAAGACCAUUAGGAAUUUUAGAAAGUUGCAGUAUUAAUAUGGGACAGACCGUUGAAAAAUAGGUAUGUAUAGUCCUUGACUCAGUGAGAAUAGGCAUUGACCUGAUCUCUGUGAGUCCAGAUAGUCAGACUCCAGGGAAAAUAGGAGUAAGCAUCCUAUAGUGGAGGUAAGUGGGUCCUGCCACUGGUAUAUCCUUAGAAAACACAAUUUCUGGUAAAGAGAAAUGCAACCUGUUAUUAGAAAUAUUCUUUCUAUAAGAAGCAAGAUGUAAUACAUGCAAUCUUUCAGGGCUGAAAGCUUAUAUUUCUAGUUUUUUCUUUUAUAUAUGUCAUUUCAUUUGGAUUAUUAGACUUAAAAAAAAAAAAAAAGGAAAUGUGAUAUGUGGUUUCUUUGAAAUAGCCACCAAAGAAUGACUUGAACUUUUCAUGCAGGUAAUUUGUAGUGAGUGAAUUUUUGAUUGUUUUGAUGCUUACAAAGGUUGAAUGUGCCUUAUCUGAAAUGCUUGGGACCAGAAGUACUCAGAUUUUGGGGUAUUUAGAGAUUGGAGUAUUUGCAUAGUUUUCACCAGUUGAACACCUCUAAUUCAAAAGCUGGAAUGCUCUGAAAUCUGAAACUUUAAAAGUUGUGGCCAGGUAUUUGAAGAUAACAGUUAAAAUUAGAUUUCCUGAAGAUGUAGCCAUUUUAUACUGUAUUGUUGUGGAGAAAUCCUUUAAUAAAAACAUGGAGAGAAGCUGUUUCAGAGGUCCUGGUAACUAAUAAGAAUUGACGGAAUACAAAUUUAUUUUUCUUAGAUUAUGUUGCCUUUCUGUUAUAAUCUGUUCUGAUGGUUAUUUUGCUAUCUUUAGUGAAUUUAAAUUAAUUUUCAUUCUUUUGCCCACAUUGCUUUUACAUGAUUGAAAUCCUAACCUUGGUUGUAAAUAUUUCUUUUUUUUCAAUGUUUUUGUGUUAUGGUUCUGUAGUCUUUGACAUGUGAACCAUUAUACUGAUGUUUCCACAGUUUAUCAUUUAGAAGCAUUAAAGUGAAGAGUGCUUUUAGGAUCUAGGAGUAAAUUUUCCUUUUAUUUUUCUAUAUAACUGAUCAUUUUUAAUUCUGGUAUGGUGUUUUUAGUAUGUUCCACCAUUUCCAUUUCCUAAAUUUAAUUUUCAAUUAGUAGCAUUGUAAAUACACUGACUUAGCAUUAAAUAAUAUUUUGUCAGAUAUAUUGUCACUAAUGUUGGCAUAAUGGUAAUGAAUACUUGUUAAUUUUACUGUAGUGCUAAAUGAAUUUUCACACUUCUUUUUUUCUGCCAUGUUAGCAAUGAGACCUUAAGGUCUCAUGCAUAAAGUCCUCUGCCCCGGGGUGGGGGGUGGGGGAGCUGAGGUUGUGGCUCAGUGGUAGGGCACUUGCCUUGCACAUGUGAGGCACUGGGUUCAAUCCUCAGCACCACAUAAAAUAAAUAAAUAAGUUAAAAAAAAUGAGGUAGAUUUGGAAAAUAAGAACUAAUGUGUUAAAAAAAAAAAAAAAAGAAGUGCUCUGCCCCAGCCUGGGUUUUCACACUUUUGUUUUUACAUUUUUAUCCUAGGAAAAUAUUUCGAACUAGUAACGUGCAUAUGUUAGCUGGUUAUUAGGAGUGGAAUGAGAAUUUAGAGAUAUGAUUUUAAAACUUACAAAUUUAACAUUAUGCUUUUUGUAGCAGACAGCAAUAUAUGUAGACUUCCCUCCCCACGCCUUUAACUCAGUUGUUUCCAUACCAUACAUUUUUCAAAAGACAGGAUUCAUAUCAUUGUUCUACAAUUUAUGAUUAUUAAGUUUUGUGGACAUUGUUUUCUACAGUUACAAUUCUUUUCUUUUUGGGGCAGUACUAGGGAUAGAAUGCUUUGUGCAUGUAAUGCAAGCACUCUAUCAGUGAGCUACAUCCGGCCCUCUUUAUUUUAUUUUGAGACAGGGUCUGGCUAAGUUGCCCAGGCUUGCCUCAGCCUUGUCUCAGCCUUGUAAUCCUCCUGCUCAGCUAGCUUUCCUGAUUGGUUGGGAUGACAGAUGUGUGCCACCAUGCCCGUUUUUAUAUUUUUAAUGAAUACAUAAUACCAUAAUCAAUUUGAAUUAAACUGUCAAAUUACAGUCUCCGAAAAGUUGUAACAACUCAUAUUUUUACCAGCACCAUAUAUGAAAGAGCCUAUUUUCCCCCUACACCCUUGAUAAUACUGAAUAUUAUGAAUUAUUUUCAUUUUUGAAAAUCUAAUAGAUAAAAGAUAGUCUUUUAAAUAAACUUUUUAUACUGUGAUUGUUGAUUAUAGGAUACCAUGUUUCUUUUGUAUAAAUACUUGUUAUGUAGUAUAUUCAUAAGUGUCCGAGAAGUAAUUGACCUAAUGAACCAUAAUUGUAUUGCAAAGUUUUAAAAAUUGGGGCAUAAUUUAUGAACAAUAAAAACCAAUUUUGUGUGCAGUUGUAUGGCUUUAGACAGACAUACAAUCAUGAAAUCAUCACCACAAUCAAGCUAGAAUAUAUUCCCAUCACCCCAGAAGUUCCGUUGUGCCCUAUUACAGUCUUUUAACUUCCAUGUACCUCCUGCUCUUGAUCUGAUGUGUCAGUAAAAGUUUUGCCUUUUAUAGAAUGUCAUUAUAAGUAGAAUGUUAGUCUUUUGUGUCUGGUUUCUUUAGCUUAGAGUAAUGCUUUUGAAACUUAAUUCAUGUUCUUGCACGUCUCCAUUCCUUUCUAUAUUGUAUUAUUUGAUUUUGGGAUUUACUAGAAUUGUUCAUUCAUUCACCCGGCUAGUGGACAUUUGGUUUGUUUGUAGCUUGAGGGUGUUUAUUAAUAAGCUACAACAAAUAAUACAAAGAUUAUUUUAUGGACAAAAUGCUUUCAUUUUUCUUAGGUAAAUACAUUGGCAUGGGAUUACUGCUUAAUGUGGUGUGUGUAUGUUUAAUUUUUAAGACACUGUCAUGUUGUUCUUUCAAGCAUAUCUAUUUUCCUUUUUUACCAGUUAUUCUCCAUCCUUCCAGUUAUUGGUGAUUUUAGAUUUUUUAAUGUUACCCAUUAUUACAGAUGUGUUAUGUCAUUGUGGUUUUACUGCAUUUUUUCUAAUGAUUAGUGAUUUUGAUCAUCUUUCAUGUGUUUAUCUUAGUGAAGUGUAUAUUCAAAUCUUUUGCACAUGUUUUAAAUUGGAUUUUUAACAUUCUGAUUAAGAAUUCUCUAUAUAUUCUGGAUUUAAAAAAGGUUUUUAUGGGCUGGGGUUGUGGCUCAGUGGUAGAGCGCUCGCAUAGCACGUGUGAGGCCCUGGGUUUGAUCUUCAUCAACACAUAAAAAUAAAUAAAUAAAAGUACUAUGUACAACUACAACUACAAAAAAAAGUUUUUUAUCAGACACAUUGUACUGAUACCUUCUUUCAGGCCAAUCUUUUUAUUUACUUGAUGCUGUUUUUAUUAUUAUCAGUAUUAUUCAUGGUACUGGGAAUUGAAUCCAAAGUGUUCUAUCACUGAACUAUAUUCCUGAGCCUUUUUCUUUUCUUUUUUUUUUUUUAAGAGAGAGAGAGAAAGAGAAUUUUUCAACGUUUAUUUUUCAGUUUUCAGCGGACACAACACCUUUGCUUGUAUGUGGUGCUGAGGAUCAAACCCGGCGCAUGCCAGGCCUCAGGCAUGCCAGGCGAGCGUGCUACAGCUUGAGCCACAUCCCCAGCCCCUCCUGAGCCUUUUUCAAUUUUUUAUUUUGAAAGGGUCUCAUCACUAAGAUGCUGAGGCUGGCCUCCAACUUGAGAUUCUUCUUCCCCAGCUUCCCAAAUUUCUGGGAUUAUAGGCAUGUACCCUACAUUCUUAAUGAUGUCUUUAUUUUUUUUUUUAGUCAUACAUGACAGCAGAAUGUAUUUUGACAUAAUACAUACAUGGAAUGUACAUACAUCAAUCUUAAUGAUGUCUUUAAAUGGGCAGUUUUAAAUUUUAAUGAAAGUUCAAGUCAUGUUUUUUUUUCUUUUGUGUUUUUUGUGUCUUAUGAAAAAUCUUCCAGUAACAGUGACUUUCUCCUGUGUUUUCUUCUAAAAGCUAGAGUUUUAGGUUUUAAUUGAGGUCUGUGGUCCAUUUCCAGUUAAUUUUGAUACAUGGUACACAAUAUAGGUCAAAUUUAUUUUUAUUUUUUUUUCUAUGAAUGUUGGGUAUUUCAGAGUCAUUUUAUUGAAAAAAACUACAUAAGUUACCUCAAUGCCCUUGCAGAUAGAUUGACUGUGUAUGUGGGAGUCUAUUGUAAUGCUUAAUUUCUCAAGUAUAGUUAUCUUAAAAAGUUCUAAAAAUUAUUAAACUGGGCUUGGUGGCACAAUCCUAUAAUCUGAGCUGCAGAGGCAGGAGGAUUGAAAAUUCAAGGCUUGCCUGGGUAAUUUAGCAACACUGUCUCAAAAUAAAAUUUUAAAAAAGGACUGGAGAUAUAACUCUGUGGUAGAGCACUUUCCAAAUGUGUGAAUCCCUGGGUUCAAUCCCAAGGACUAAAAGAAAUAAAGAAAAAUUAUUCGUGAUAACCUGCUAUACUUAAUUUAUUUGGACCUUUAAUUGAUCACAAAACUCUCAUUUCUAACUUAACUUAUUAGGAGUAGUAUGUUUUCAUGUAAAUGUGUACUUAUGGACAUUUUAUAUAUAAAAAAGCGUGGGAAUGUAGAAAAUGGACUUUUAGAAUCAUUUUGAAAUUGCAUGGCUAAUCAUUUAACGGUUUAAUGUAUUAACAUUUCCCCCAUAACAACUUAAUUUACUAUUGAAAUAUCUUUGUGUUGUGUUGUUUUGUUGUAUCCAGAAGCUAUAUUCCCAGACCUUUUUAUUUUUGAGAUGGUCAGCCUCGAAUUUAUAAUCUUCCUGCCUCAGCCUCCUGAGUCAUUGGAGUUACAGGCAUGUGAACUGUGUUUGGCAUUGUCUUUGUGUUUUAAUAAGUUGUUUCUUUGUUCUAAAGAGGUCUUUAGUAUCAGAUGCAUUCAAAAUUUUUGUCUAAUCUCUUAUGCAAAGUAAUGGUAGAUGCUGCAAGGAAAAUGUCUUUUAAGCAUCUCUUAGGAGCAUAACUGUGCCAGACUUACACUCAGCAUUAAUAUAGAGGGGGUCUUCUAAAUAGGAGAUGGUCAUGCUAGGGGUAUUAAUAAAAACUAAAGAAGAAAUAUAUGUAUAAUACUAAUAGAAAGGAGUAAUUAAUUUUGCCUGGAGAACAAAGAUAGGAAGACCAGGUGGAAUUGGGAUAAGACCUUGAGUAGGUUUUUGAAAUUGGGAGAGGAAAGAUUUGUUGGUAUGAAGUUUUAGGAAGACAUUAUCUACAACUUCUUUUAAUUCUGGUUGUGAAUAUUGAAUUCUCAUUUUGUGCUUGUCAUAGUUCUACUCCUGUUCUAAUUCAAGCAGUAUAUAUUCUUGGUGGAGGGUUUAUAAUUUUAUCAUAUAAGAUAAUUAUGUUUAGGAAUUCUCUAUUUCAUUGUGUUUUAAAUUCCUUUGAACAGAGCACGUCUGUCCUUUUCACUACUGUUUUUCCUCGUAUGGUUUUUGGCACACAUAUAGUAGAUAUUCAGUAUAUAGAAUGAUUUUUUUUUUUUUUGGUUGUUGCAUGUCUCAUUCACUCAAGCUUCUGUUGAACAACAUAAUUAAGAUAAAGUCCCAGAGAAUGAAAAUUCAGAGAAUGAUAUUGAAUGGCAAAGUAUAAAUAACUGUUGUUACAGGAGUGAGAAAUGUAGUAGGAUAUACAUUUGAAAAGUUGGUUAGAACCUUGAAUUGUCAGUGUAUUUCCUUGGAGGGCCUAAUAUGCCGAACUGAAUUCAGGUGUUAAGAUUUUACUCUGUACAAUGUAUUCUAUACAUGAUACAGGAGCUUGGAAGAUGACUACUAUUACUUCUUCUUUUUUGUACUGGAAGACUUUUGAGGAAGAUCUAUACAAUCUGAAUUAAUUCAGUGGGAGUGAAAUGGAGGGGACAAUUCCAAGAGAUUUGAGUUGUCAGGAUUUCAUAGUUUGAAAGGCAAAGCUUAAAGAGGGAAAGUCACUUAACAACUAAGCCUUCACCUAGAAGGAGGAGACACCAUAAUGGAGAUCAGAAAAUAGAUGUCUCUAUAUUGAAGGUGUGUAUAAUUGAGUUGCUUAUGGAAUCGUAUGGUAUUUAGCACAUGGUUAGAAAUGUAAAGUCUGAGCGUAGGGUAAAAACUGUAUAUAUAUAUAUAUGUGUGUGUGUUUAUGUAUGUAUAUGUAUACGUGCACACACUAGAGACAGCUGAAGCUGUUAGGAUAUCUGAAAUUGCCAGACAGGUUAGAAUAUAGAAUUGUGAAGAUUUAGCAUUUUGGUGAGAAGGAAAGUUGCCCUGUCAUUGGAAUUUUAUAUUUAGGUGAGGAAGUGGCCUACUGUGAUAAUUCAGACAGGUGGAGGAUUUGCAGAAGUCAUUGGAUGGUUGCAAAGAAUUGUGAAAUUCCAGAGAAUUGCAUUCAAGGAAGAGCUAAGUUAUAAUAUUUGAGAGGGAAAUGGAGAAGAAGACUAAGAUAGUUAGUUGCACAGUUGGUAACUUAGGACAGAAUAUGAUUAAUAAAUUUCCAUGAUAAAUGCCAAAAGAACUUUGAAAAUUAGAGGAAAGAGCUAUAGUCUGUUGGAUUGUGGAAGAUUUUCAGGAGGACAAUAUUUUAACUGGGCCCAGAUGAAUGCAGAGUGUUUCCAUCAUUAUAGGUAGGAAGAUAUGAAAUAACUGUAGAUGAUUAGGCAAAAGUUCGAUUCUUUUUAACAGACUUCUAGAAUCUUAGUGUUGGAACAACCUAAUCUUACUCUUUUGGAUCCCUUUACUAUAUUUCUGCUAACUUGUUCAGUUAAUGUCUGGAAAACCUAGAGUGACUGUCUAUUUAUGAAGUAACUGUUGGAUAUUUGAAUAACUGGUUAUUCUUGCAUUAUAUUGAAUCCAAAUCUACCUUCCUGUAAUUUGUAUUUAUCUCAGAACUGUCACCUCAUUUUAGACUUUGCGUCUGUGUUAACAUAACCUGAGAUUGUUUAACUUGGAGGCAGCCCCAUUGUAUUAUUGAUUUACUAAACUUCCUUUAUUCUCAGUUUCAAAAGUAAAUUUAAAUAAGCUCUAUAUUUAUUGCCUAAAAGUUGAAGUUUUCAUUAGCAGGAAAAGCCAUAAUUUGUGUGUGUGUGUGUGUGGGGGGGUGGGCUUCAUUAUUUUUGUUGUUCUUGUUUCUUAGUGGUACUGGGAAUUGAACUCAGGGCCUGCCUCAUACUAGGCAAGCACUCUACUACUGAGCUACAUCCAUAGUCAUUUUUAUUACUUUGAUAAACUGUCUUGCCUAAGUUGCCCAGGCUGAUUCAAACUUAGGAUUUUGCCUUGGCCACCCAAAUAGGGAUUAUAAUUGUGUGCCAUGAUACCCAGUUUAAAAAAAAAAAAAGUUAUUUUGAAGUUGAGGAGAUGAAUAUAUUAUGUAGAAUCUAAAGCCUAGUGUGACUUUUUUGGGGGGUCUUAUUUGUGUUUCUUAUUUCUUCCUUUACUACCUCUCAAUGUGUAUUAUUGACACACUCAAUGUUUAUUAUUGAGAGAUUCAUAAAGAAUGGGUGACAAUUGAUUUUUGAGCAGUUUCUUAUGAGAGCUGGAGUAGAUGUGCUUCAGGAAUUAAGUCUAGGCAAAUGGAAAGGAAAAAUUUUAAGAAACUGUAAUGAAUAAAAGGGAUAUUGAUUAAAAAUUCACAGGGACUUGAGGUAGGGUAGGCAGAGUAAAAGAAUAGAAUGACCUUAGUCUCUAAAAGGUGUUCCAGGCUCUGUAAAGUGAAAUGAAGCUGAUAUAAGCAUCUUAGGAUCUGUAUAAAUAAAUAGUAUUGCUAAUGUUUUUAAUUCACAAAAGAUUUGUUUAUCCAGAGCCAGGAUAAAUUUUAUAUUGUGUCUUACUACACAGUGCAAUCUCCCUGUUUUCAGGUGUCAUUGCAAGAAAUGGGGUUUAAUACAUGAAAUGUCACUUUCUGUAAAGCAGUGGUGAUAAUUGCUCUUAUCUUUAAAGGUGCAAGAGCAACCUCUAAGAUUGUUUUUAUACUGUGUGUGGUCUUCUAGGGUUGACCAGAGAUUUCUUCUCAAUUUUUAUUUUAGGAAAUUGAGAUUCAGGAAGGUUGAGACUUUUUCAUGAUCAUAGAUACGUUUUUUUCCUCACUCUUGUGUUCUGAACUUUAUUUUGAUGACUUUAAAAAGAAAAAAAGAAACAUCCAAAUCCAAUAAUCAUUUAUCAGUUAGUUGGGUUACAUAGCCAUGAAGAAUAAAAAGCACACUAUUCUUUUUAUUUGUAAUCACAUUUUAUUCUGAGUGUAAUUUGGCUUUUUUUUCUUAUAUGCACUGGCUAUGUAUGUGUUACAAAAUUGAGUAAUAUCAAUAUAUUUUCCCCACCUAUUCAAACUACUUGUUCUGUGGCCCAUCUGUAAUCUAUACCAAAUACUUUUUUGAUGCCAUUCCUUAUUUGUUGAACUAAUCUCCCUUCUCAAGGGGAGAAAAUUGGAAGAUGGGCAGAGAAAUGGAAGGUGGGUAAAAAAAGGCAGUUGCUCAUGAAAGACACAUGUAUUAGUCCGUAAAUAAGUAGUAGGGUUUUUUCUUUCUUCUUUUCUCUAGUACCUUCACUUUCUGCUUGAUUUCCAUCAAUUAAUUAUAUCUUGGCUUUCUGAAUUGAGUCAUUUUAAGUAAGAGUGGUAAAGACCUGAUCUGUAAGUAUUGUAUUGAAACAGUUUCUUAGUAACAUCUUCGUUUUGUCUUACCAUCCUCUGGGGAGCUUCUUCCUCACUUUAAAACAAAUAGUGGACUAUACAUAACUCAUUUUAUACAUUAUCUCAUUCACCAUUUGAGUUUCUUUGAAUAAGUUAUGCUAAAUAAUAACUUACUGAAUAAUGAUAAAUUGAGUAUUGGUUAUCUCUUCUUCACUUUUGAUUUCAGUUGAUACUAUUAUGACCAGCAUACUUCAGUGACUUUAUAUAUAGUGAGCAAUUUGAAGCCUCUCUUGAACUUUUUUACAAUGAAUCUUAAAUGUAUUUUGACUUGUCUUUGAUAUGUGUAUUUGGCAACUUUUUAUUUUGAGAAAGAACCAAAUAUGUAAAGGUAAAAAUGGUAGGUGAAAUAUUUAUUUUAUAGAUAUGAUGAAAUUUGAGAUAAAAACAGGUGUUACUGUACAAGAUGUGGAAAUUACCCAAAAUCCAGAAAUGAUCCCUAAUGGCAUUUCUUUAUUUCCUUCUCUCUCUCUCUGUCUCUCUGUCUCUCUCUGUCUCUCUCUCUCUCUCUCUCUCCCCCUCCCUCCCUCCCUCCCUCCCUCCCUGUUCCCUCUCUCCUUCCCUCCCUUCCCCUCCCUCUUUCUCCCUCUAUUUGCUGUACUGGGAUUGAACCCAGGGCAAGCUCUUUACACUGAGUGACAUCCUCAGCUCCCUAAUAGCAUUUCUGUCACAGUUUGAAGAAAGUUUUGUACAUAAUUGUAUUAUCCAGGGGUAUUUUAUUCUAUGUCCCCUCCCCCACCCAGGUAUUUAACACAGGCUACUUUGCCACUGAGCUACGUUUCUAGCCCUUAUUUUUUAUUUAUUUUUUUUUUUUUUAAAUGACACUUUUUUUAAUAUUUAUUUUUUAGUUUUCGGCGGACACAACAUCUUUGUUGGUAUGUGGUGCUGAGGAUCGAACCCAGGCCGCACGCAUGCCAGACGAGCGCGCUACCGCUUGAGCCACAUCCCCAGCCCAACCUUAUUUUUUAUUUUGAGACAGGAUCUCACUAAGUUGCUUAGGGCAUUGCUUAGUUGCUGAGGUUGGCCUUGAGCCUUCUAAGCUGCUGGGGUUGCAGGCAUAGGAUACCCGGCACUUUAUUAUUUUAACAUCCAUUGUAACAAUAUUAAAAUUGCAUAAUUUCUCCAUUUUAAUUAUAAAGCCUUACUAGGUAGCUGUACUUUUUUUUUUAUCUCCCAUUAUUUGAAAUAAAAACAUUAAGUUGCUUAGUUUUGCUACUGUGUUUUAUUUUAUUUCUGGUGGUGCUGGGAAUCUAUCCAAGGCCUGUACAUGCUAAGAAAGUACUCUACCACUGAGUUGCAUUCUCAUCCCAGCUUUGCUACCUCAUUUUUAAGUUCCUAUUCUUGUAAUUGUACAUGAUGAGUAGUUAUCAUGAUCAUCUAUUAUUUAAAUAUAGGAAGUGACAGUCCUUCUAUGCAUUAAGGGUAGUUAGCCUAACUACCUUAUUGGAAGUUUUAGGUUUGGAGAAAAUAAGUGGCACUCAAAAGGGCUAUAGCUGGACAUGGCUUUGUGAAUUUACUAUUUCUGAAAGUAAAUUGGGCAUUAUAAAUACAUUUAAACAUAUUUGGGUAUUUUUGUACAUCAAGUUUGAAAAUUUCAGGACAAUUGCAAAGGGAGAAGGAAGGAACCCAAUAGAACAUGAUGUAAAGCUGAAUUGGAAGUUGCUAGAAUUGUGUAGUGCUACAGUCUUAUCUAUGUUCUAUCGUAAUCAAUACCUGACUUUUAUGAAAACGGCAUCAUAUUGUCAUGACUAUUGUAGGCUGUUUUUGGCUAUGAAAGUUUUUAAUUGUUUAAAAUGUGUUCAAAUUUGUUAAAAUAGGAAUUUAAGCUGCAUUUUUAUUUGCCCAAAAGUUAAUUACUGAUUAUUGUUCAAGUGAUUUGAAGUAUAGUGAAAAAGGAUGCUUGAUUUUAUGUAUGUAUAAAUAACUUGUAUUUAUGAUUGAACCCAGGACCUUAUCUGUACAAAGCACUCAUUCUACUAAUGAGCUGCACCGGCAUCCCAAUUACAUGUUUUUUUGAAAAACAAGUCAUACUCAGGUUUGCAUAUAUUUUUGCCUCUCUUCUCCUCAGUUAUUAAUGUUAUAGUUUUGGUUGUUCUGUGUGCUAUAAGCAUAAAUGAUGAGAAGUUGUGUCUAUUUUGUGCUAAUUCUUCUUGGAAUUUCUUUUAAGAAUAAGAAAGUUCUUCCUCCUAUGCUAAGGGUUAGGGAAAUCAAGAAGGGAUAAAAGAAGAUGGAAACUUUCAAGACUGGAAAUUAUUGUUUUGUUGUAAAAAAUUUUUUUUUGUACUGGGAAUUGAAUGCAGGGUUUCACCAUGCUAGACACUUGGUUUUCCAUGAAUCUACAUCCCCAACACCCCUCAUUUUGAGGGGAAGGAGAGACAGGGUCUCCUAUGUUAGCCAUGCUGGCUGCCAACUUUUGAUUCUCCUGCCUUAGCCUCUCAAGUAGCUGGCAUUACAGGUGUGUGCCAAUAGGACUUUUGUUGUAAGUUAGUUUUAAUGAAUAAUGUUAAUUUUCUUUAUUCCCAUUUUUAUGUCUUAAAAAAACAUUUCAUAGGAUUGCAAGUUUGAGGCCAGCCCCAGCAACUUAGCGAGGCCCUGUCUCAAAAAAAAAAAAAAAGGGAUGGUGAUGUAGCUCAGUGGUAAGAAAAUGUAUUUCAUGGUAGUUUACAAAGAUGAUUUUUUAAUAGUUAAUUAUUCUUGUGUUUGCUCCCUCAGCAUUUGACAUUGUGCAGCAAAGAAAUGGUUAUGGAGAAGCCCAGUCCGCUGCUUGUAGGGCGGGAGUUUGUGAGGCAAUAUUAUACUUUGCUGAAUAAAGCUCCAGAAUAUUUACACAGGUAAAUUUUAAACAAAUUAUUUAGUGUUUUUAUUAGUUUUUUUUUAUUACUACAUAUAUUUUAACUUUCCUGACUCCUCAUAAUUUAACAGUAUCUUUAUAAACAUCUCUAAGCCAUAUCUGCUACUUUUUAUCAUGUAAUGACUCAAGACUGGUAUUUUUUCUAAAGUUUUUUACUAUAGCCCACAGUAAAAAAAACACAUUAUAUCCCAG
rnacentral:lncRNA from 1 species